ACAAACACAUAUUUGCAAUAAACCAGCAGCAUUACACAUCAUUACUAAUCCAAGAUUUAUAAUAAACCAGCGGCAUUAGAACACAUCCUGUAAGAGCAUACAUAUUGUCAUGGCUUUUCAUGCCUUCAAUUAAAACACCUACACUUUUUGAAGUCACUUACUCCCAGCUAGUGCAAACACAAUUACAAGCAAACCAAAAUGCAUAAAAACACCAAACAGUGGCAUCCUAUCUCUCCAAACGAUCCGCUCCCUCUGCAUCCUUGCUAGCAUCUUCACGAUAAGCAAAUCCGCGGGAAAAAAGUCAACUUAGCUUUUACUCCCUCUGUCAACUAUCCAGAGUAGAUUUUAUCCAUUGCCCUGGCCAUGUUCAAGAAACACUAAAUCAACUAUCCAGAGUAGAUUUUCUUCCUUGCAUGAACUGGUUUGCAAACAAAAAUAGAACUCCGUUAGUAUAUAUUGACUUAAUGUGGAAGAAGAUAAAUUCUGGUACCUUUAUAAAAAUCUCCCUACUAAUGUAGUAGCACAUGAAGUAACAAUCAUAGGUAUAUCAGCAUCUUGGUUAGAAAAGCUUUUGUGCAAAACUAUAGAGCAGUAGAAGUUAGAGACGUGAACCAUCAGUUUCACAUAGGAAACAGAAACAUAUGAUAUUAGAUGAAAGGCAGCAAGCAUACUCUUUCUCAAACAAACUUCUCGUCCGUGUACAUAACAGUAGCAUGGAGUGGGCACUGCUAGUGCAUGGUUAGAAAACGCUUUACUGACCAUGCUUUGUUCCAAGCUAGAUAUUUAUGCAGUAUACCACAUACUAAGCUUGUGGUUAGCUGAUCCGUUGGUUUGCUGUAAAAUAUUAGGGAAAGAAAGGGCGUAAAGGAUGAUGAGAUGAUGGACCUACAUUUCACAUGAUACCUGAUAUGAACUGCAGUUACCAUAACUUUGCUUGCCACCUCAUAGAUGUUGAAAAAAAAGUUUUGACAGCAAGGAAACUUCAAAC
rnacentral:lncRNA from 1 species